rnacentral:lncRNA from 1 species
UUACUCUCUAAUGCCCCUGACACGAGAUAGAUACUCAAUAAAUGGUCCUAUGAGUGAAUGAAUGUGUGAAUGAAUGAAUGAGCUGGUGGCAGGGUGAGAAAAGGAAACAGAUGUGUCUAUUAAGGGAAAACCUGCCUUGUGAUUGGUGCCUCUCAAGGCCUCAUUCAGGAUGUCUUCUCCGGAAGUUGGCUUUAGGGUGCUGCCUCUCCCGCUUUUGCCCCUUGGUGCUAAGUAAGAAGUUCCUCGAUGACGCUGUGCCGUCUGCCUGGCCUCUUCCAAGGAUUGCUUCAUUGGCUGCUGGCUCCUGGCUUUUCUGCUCUUGGCACCAAGUAGCUAUGAAGACUCUGAGACCUGGACCAUCCCAAGGCUGUAGCUUUCUUUCUUCAAGUCUGGCAGGCUCUGUCGCUGUGAAGAGUCUGAAGGCUUUUUCUUUUCCAGGUAAGCUGGGCAGAGGGUUUGAAGAGCACUGUGAAGUUAUGACUGUUUCUUCUUUAUUUUCUUUUCCCUCUCUGGGCCUAAGACACCAGAUUUAUUUAUUUAUUUAUUUUUUUUACAGUACAUUUUGGCAGGCCCCACUUUUUUUUCUGACAGAAAAAAAUAACAGGCAUAUUUUGGGCGAUUACUCAACUGGGGUCCUUUGUGACAGGAUAUGCUGCUGCGUGACUAAUGGAGCUGGCUUUCUCCUGGCUUCCUUCCCCUUUCAGAGCUCUUGUUUACUGCUCUAUACAAAAAAAAAAAAAAAAAA